rnacentral:rRNA from 1 species
ACACGACUACAUUAGAUACCCGUGUAGUCCAGGGUGUAAACGCUGCGGGCUUGGUGUUGGGGGGUCCUUUGAGGGCGCCCAGUGCCGGUGAGAAGUUGUUAAGCCUGCUGCUUGGGGAGUACGUCCGCAAGGAUGAAACUUAAAGGAAUUGGCGGGGGAGCACCGCAACGGGAGGAGCGUGCGGUUCAAUUGGAUUCAACGCCGGACAACUCACCAGGAGCGACGGUUACAUGAAGGCCAGGCUGAUGACCUUGCCUGAUUUUCCG